rnacentral:rRNA from 1 species
ACUCAAAGGAAUAGACGGGGCCCCGCACAAGCAGCGGAGCGUGUGGUUUAAUUCGAUGCAACGCGAAGAACCUUACCUAGGCUUGACAUGGGCUUGUAAGGCCGAGAAAUCGGUCCCCCUUCGGGCAAGUUCACAGAUGUUGCAUGGCUGUCGUCAGCUCGUGUCGUGAGAUGUUGGGUUAAGUCCCGCAACGAGCGCAACCCUCGUGGCUAGUUGCAUUCUCUAGCCAGACCGCCUACUAAAUAGGAGGAAGGUGGGGAUGACGUCAAGUCCGCAUGGCUCUUACGUCUAGGGCUACACACACGCUACAAUGGCCGGUACAGAGCGCAGCCAAACCGCGAGGUGGAGCAAAUCGCCAAAACCGGUCCAAGUUCGGAUUGCAGGCUGCAACCCGCCUGCAUGAAGUCGGAGUUGCUAGUAACCGCGCGUCAGCACAGUGCGGUGAAUGAGUUCCCGGGGCUUGUACACACCGCCCGU